rnacentral:rRNA from 1 species
CCUACGGGAGGCAGCAGUGGGGAAUAUUGGACAAUGGGCGAAAGCCUGAUCCAGCAAUGCCGCGUGAGUGAUGAAGGCCUUAGGGUUGUAAAGCUCUUUUACCAGGGAUGAUAAUGACAGUACCUGGAGAAUAAGCUCCGGCUAACUCCGUGCCAGCAGCCGCGGUAAUACGGAGGGAGCUAGCGUUGUUCGGAAUUACUGGGCGUAAAGCGUACGUAGGCGGUUAUUCAAGUCAGAGGUGAAAGCCUGGAGCUCAACUCCAGAACUGCCUUUGAAACUAGAUAGCUAGAAUCUUGGAGAGGUGAGUGGAAUUCCGAGUGUAGAGGUGAAAUUCGUAGAUAUUCGGAAGAACACCAGUGGCGAAGGCGACUCACUGGACAAGUAUUGACGCUGAGGUACGAAAGCGUGGGGAGCAAACAGGAUUAGAUACCCUGGUAGUCCACGCCGUAAACGAUGAUAACUAGCUGUUCGGGCUCUACGAGCUUGAGUGGCGCAGCUAACGCAUUAAGUUAUCCGCCUGGGGAGUCGGUCGCAAGNUUAAAACUCAAAUGAAUUGACCGGNUGAGAGNGCGAGACGACGACGAGGGAGAGG